GUGCGGAAGCCUGGUCUCCCCGUUCGGAGCGAGCAGUCUGCUCUUGUGAAGGCGAGGCUCGAGGCCGGCGACAGACCUCUCAGCGACAGAGGGAGGUUAGGCUGGCGGCAGCCGCUGUGUCUGGGGCCCUGAUUGGGAGACGAAAGGCAGAAAGCUGGCCCCAGUCCUCCAUGACGGACUGGCACCUCUCCAGGUACUGGCGGUGUAGCUCCAUGACCUGCUGGGAAAUGUAGUUCGGCUCCAAAUAGCCAACGGGUGACCGCCAGGCGCGGCGGUUGUGACGGGGCAGUCCCACUCCCAUCCCACCCACACCCCACCCCUGCGGCUCGGCCGGAUGUGGGCUGUCUCUCGGACCGGAAGAUCUGCGCGAGGCGGCGGCUGUUUCCGCCAGGGCGUCCAGUGUGGGUCAAAGGACUGCAGAGGCGCAACAGCCACUGGUGUUAGUUUCGCUGAACCAUUUUGCGGCGAGUAUGAGAAGAAACACAGGGUCCUCGGAGAUUCCCUUCCCUGCUGGAGGUGGGGCUCCCUCUCCAGGGGCAAGCUCAUCCUUGGAUUCCUGUCACCUCCUUGCCCCGUCAAGAACAGACGCGGAUCUGGCAGGUGAUAUAAAGGCAGCGAGACAUUCUGACCAGUGUUUGCUCUGCUACUGAAAACCACCCAGGCUGCUCAAGGCGUGAGCGGGAUCUCCCUGAGGACGUGGAUUUACUCGCAGCCUGACCCCUAGGAGAGUCGAUGGCACAUGGUUUGGAGAGGGCUGGGAGGGCACAACGCCUUUCCAGACACAUGGUCCUCCAGAUGUCCCACCCCUCACCUCCACAUACCGGCCUGCAGAGCAUCGGUAAGCUCUACAUCCAACUUGAACUCAGCUGAACUCAGAACUCUUGAACCGGCGCUUGAACUCAGAACCCGGCGAUCAAAAGUCACAUGCUCUAUGGACUGAGCCAGCCAGGUGCCCUAAACACAUAUUUUGGACACCAUGCCAAGAUUCUGAAGAAAGAAGGGUGAAAAAGGCAUAGGUGUCCUUUGGAGCUCAUGGCCCAGUGUGGGGUUCUAGAAGUCGCUCCAGAGCUAACGCAAGUCGUAUGUGUGGGACCCUACUAGGAGGCUGGCUGUGCACGUACAGUCCCUGACCGUCAAAGGCUUACAGGACUAUCCUAAAGAAAUGGCUGGAUGUAUGCAAAGUCGCACUACAAGAUGUCCCUCACAGAAUUGCUCAUGAAACCAAGAAUUGAAAACAACCUAAAUGUCUACCAGUAGAAGAGAUAGGCUGAGCGCUGUGCGCCACGGAGCCCGCUCAAGCUCUGCAUCUUUCACCCUCUGGCCACAGCCAGCUCCAAGGAUGAAACGUCUUGGUGAGCGGCUUCUGUCUGUGCUGGAUCUGAUGCCUACUCUCUAAGUCCUCUGCCCAGGGACCUUGUUGAACAAAACGGUUGUAAGGACAGAAAGCACGGCAUUUUCUGAAAUAGCUUCAGUCCCACAAGCUGCCUGCUUGCUUCCCAGGGGAACCUCUACGCUGUUGGAGCUGCCUGAUGGAACUGCGGAGGGAACUUGCAGACCCUGAGUUUCUGGGAGGAGACAGGGGAGCCUUUGCGAAGUACGAGUCUCAUGUGAAUGGCUCGUCUGUCUGCCAGCAGGGUCUUGAAAAAAAAUACAAAGGCCUGAGGGGUACUCCUAGCAUCGCAGAGCAGGCGGGGUGGACAGGAGGUCGUGCUAGCGCCAGGACCCCGGGUCCCCACCUCUCGUGUUCCCUGCCGCCCUCCCCGCAGCAGAACCUACAGCUUUCUUUCUUCCCCUUUGUUGUUGGAAGAGACUUCUUGUGGCUGGAGCACACACCCUGCUUCAAACCAACAGCCAGAUUGGCUGGAAUAACCUUGGGAGAUAGAUUUUUAAUAACACAGAACAUAAAUACCGAUGUCACCAUCCCCCAUAAUUAACAAACGUGAUGUCUACUUGCUUGAUUUUGUUACUUCUAUUUUGUGAGAAGGCACCUCUGGACUGUUCACGUGUUGAGAGCCUACAUGUGGUGCCCUGAGGCAGCCAGACUACUUCCGUGGGCUUCUCGAGCUCAUUCCUCUAGUCAACCAGGUUGGCUGGGGGCCCUCUAGCAUUUGGACAACCCUGAGAGAAACCUUGAAGAGGAGGGACUCCAUCCUGCCCAGGGGGAACUAUAUUGUCCCAGGAGACAAGGCAGUGGAAGCGUGCCCCAUCCCCGAGCACAUGGCGAGGGGCCACUGGUUCUUUCCUGCUGGCCUCCGCUCUCCCUGCCCCCCAGGAAAGGGCCCCCAUUUGGGAGAGAUGAAAGAGUUUGUACAGAAUGCAAAGUAGGCAUGGACAGGCCUCUCGGGGGCCAUUUGGUUAAGGUCUCACCUUCAUGAAAGGUCUCACCUUUUUAAGUUCUUUCCACCAAAACACCUAGUUGUGUUCUUGUGUUGGCUGUUAAAGAUGCUAGAUGCAAGCAUGUAAACUAUACCACACUUUUUAUAAUAUUUAAUUUUCUAGGAGCCUUAAAAAAUGCGGGGGGAUAGGCUUUGCUAGACCUCUAAGAAGUCCUGUCUGACCAACUGGAAAAGACAGGUUGGACCUGUCUCAUUCUGGGGAUAGAAAAAUCCCCCAUCUGAGUUGUUCAAACACCCAGACUUGGGGGCUGACGGAACUGAUCCUAAGUGCUGAGGAGAGGCCAAGAGCCGAGCUCCCCUUUCCACAUUGUUCUCCAUCCUCACCGGGCACUUGGGGAGAGGAAGUGUGGAGCUGGGCCUGGAAGCUCAAGUCUGAGCUGUGGGUGUUUCUGAGAUUAUUCUGCCCAGAUAACUAGGCUAGGAGAGAGAGAGGAUUUCAGGACAAGUACUCAUUUCAGAAUUAAAGAUCACAGAGUUUCCAGGAGGGCCCUUUGGACCUUUCUUGAGGAACGUGAAGGUGACUGCAGGUGCAGGAGGGCCAGGUGUACUGUCUCUUGCCACUCCCCUCCCAUGUUGUGAGCCCCUUGGCCUAGUCACCAGUCUCUUCCCCGAUUUCCUUGAUUUUAGCCUAGACAACACACUGUGAAAGAAUCCCUGCAGAUUCUGGAAGGUCACAAUCGAAAAAAUCUUAACGUGGUCCCUACAGGUUUUUUCUGCUUUCUAGAAGAUAAACAGCUAUGGCAUCUUUGGGAAGACAACUUGGCUGGAGUAAGGGAUGAGGCCUCUCCAAGGCCCUUUGGCCUCCUGUUCUCACUGCUACCUUUAAUACCUAAGGAGCUGUUAACAAUUGCUAUAUAAAGUCCCUAGAAUGUUUUUGUUUGCUUUUACAACCUCUUAACAAGGGAAGAGGAAGUAAAAAAAAAAAAAACAAACACAGGGA